rnacentral:rRNA from 1 species
GUCGAACGAACCCUUCGGGUGAGUGGCGCACGGGUGCGUAACGCGUGGGAACCUGCCCUUAGGUUUGGAAUAACGUUUCAAAGGAACGCUAAUACCUUCGGACCAAAAUUUAUCGCCUUUGGAUGGGCCCGCGUAGGAUUAGCUAGUUGGUGAGGUAAAGGCUCACCAGGCGACAUCCUUAGCUGGUCUUAGAGGAUGAUCAGCCACACUGGGACUGAGACCGGCCCAGACUCCUACGGGAGGCACAGUGGGGAAUAUUGGACAAUGGGCGAAAGCCUGAUCCAUGCCCGUGAGUGAUGAAGGCCUUAGGGUUGUAAAGCUCUUUUACCAGGGAUGAUAAUGACAGUACCUGGAGAAGCUCCGGCUAACUCCGUGCCAGCAGCCGCGGAAUACGGAGGGAG